GGCUCAGGAUGAACGCUAGCGGCAGGCUUAACACAUGCAAGUCGAGGGGCAGCGGGUGUAGCAAUACAUGCCGGCGACCGGCGCAAGGGUGCGUAACGCGUGAGCAAUCUGCCCGUAUCAGGGGGGAUAAGCGAUGGAAACGUCGUCUAAUACCGCAUAACACCAAUGAUGGCAUCAUCGAUGGUUGAAAGCUUCGGUGGAUACGGAUGAGCUCGCGAGACAUUAGUUAGUUGGCGGGUAACGGCCACCAAGACCGCGAUGUCUAGGGGAACUGAGGGGUUGGUCCCCCACACUGGAACUGAGACACGGUCCAGACUCCUACGGGAGGCAGCAGUGAGGAAUAUUGGACAAUGGCCGGAAGGCUGAUCCAGCCAUGCCGCGUGAAGGAAUUAAAGGUCCUAUGGAUUGUAAACUUCUUUUGUACGAGAGCAAUAAGUGUCACGAGUGACACGAUGAGAGUAUCGUACGAAUAAGCAUCGGCUAACUCCGUGCCAGCAGCCGC
rnacentral:rRNA from 1 species